rnacentral:rRNA from 1 species
AGCAGUAGCCGCGGGAAUACAGAGGGUGCGAGCGUUAAUCGGAUUUACUGGGCGUAAAGCGUGCGUAGGCGGCUUUUUAAGUCGGAUGUGAAAUCCCUGAGCUUAACUUAGGAAUUGCAUUCGAUACUGGGAAGCUAGAGUAUGGGAGAGGAUGGUAGAAUUCCAGGUGUAGCGGUGAAAUGCGUAGAGAUCUGGAGGAAUACCGAUGGCGAAGGCAGCCAUCUGGCCUAAUACUGACGCUGAGGUACGAAAGCAUGGGGAGCAAACAGGAUUAGAUACCCGAGUAGUCCCUGUCUCUUAUAA